GAUGAACGCUGGCGGCGUGCCUAAUACAUGCAAGUCGAGCGAACAGAUGAGGAGCAUGCUCCUCUGACGUUAGCGGCGGACGGGUGAGUAACACGUGGAUAACCUACCUAUAAGACUGGGAUAACUUCGGGAAACCGGAGCUAAUACCGGAUAAUAUAUUGAACCGCAUGGUUCAAUAGUGAAAGACGGUUUUGCUGUCACUUAUAGAUGGAUCCGCGCCGCAUUAGCUAGUUGGUAAGGUAACGGCUUACCAAGGCAACGAUGCGUAGCCGACCUGAGAGGGUGAUCGGCCACACUGGAACUGAGACACGGACCAGACUCCUACGGGAGGCAGCAGUAGGGAAUCUUACGCAAUGGGCGAAAGCCUGACGGAGCAACGCCGCGUGAGUGAUGAAGGUCUUCGGAUCGUAAAACUCUGUUAUUAGGGAAGAACAAAUGUGUAAGUAACUAUGCACGUCUUGACGGUACCUAAUCAGAAAGCCACGGCUAACUACGUG
rnacentral:rRNA from 1 species